UAAGGAAUAUUGCUCAAUGGGCGAAAGCCUGAUGCAGCAACGCCGCGUGAGUGAUGAAGGCCUUCGGGUUGUAAAGCUCUGUCUUCUGGGACGAUAAUGACGGUACCAGAGGAGGAAGCCACGGCUAACUACGUGCCAGCAGCCGCGGUAAUACGUAGGUGGCAAGCGUUGUCCGGAUUUACUGGGCGUAAAGGAUGCGUAGGCGGAUACUUAAGUCAGAUGUGAAAAUCCCGGGCUUAACUUGGGAACUGCAUUUGAAACUGGGUAUCUAGAGUGCGGGAGAGGAAAGUGGAAUUCCUAGUGUAGCGGUGGAAUGCGUAGAGAUUAGGAAGAACACCAGUGGCGAAGGCGACUUUCUGGACCGUAACUGACGCUGAGACAUGAAAGCGUGGGGAGCAAACA
rnacentral:rRNA from 1 species